CUCCACGAUAUCGUGGAUAGACACCUAGUCAUUGUUUGAUUUUUGAUAAUGGAGUACCCUCUAUGGUGGUUUGAGAAUGGCAUUCAUUAGCCCAAUGUCUCCUUCUACGGCAUUGUGAGCAAAUACUCAGUAUUCUACUCCUUUGAUACCUAGUUUUGUUAAACCCUCCUCCUAUGGGGCAAUUCCUUUUAAAAUGUCCUGUUUGUUCACAAUUGUAGCAUGUUUUUGGCCUGGCAUCUAAAGCCUAUUGUACAGCAGCUGCCAAGACUUGCCCUUGUUCAUUAAUGUCUCUACAUAAUUUAAUAUAUGUGUUUAAAUCUUGAUGUUUCCAUGGUCUAAUGACUUCUCCACACCAACAAUUUGCUUGCUUAUAAGCCAGUUGUUUUAUUAAUGGCAUUGCUUGUUCUGUAUUCCCAAAAACUCUGGUAGCUGUUUGAAUAAGCCAAUCUAUAAAUUCAGUGUAAGGUUCAUUAGCUCCUUGUAUUACCUUAGAUAAUUGAACUUGUAAACCUCCAUGUCCUUGUAAAGUCUUCCAUGAUCUAACUGCAUCUACAGCAAUUUGUAAGUAUAUUGCAGGAUCAUAUGCAAUUUGUUGCUGCUGAUCCUCAUAAGGUCCCUUUCCUAACAACAUAUCUAGAUUUCUUUGAGGAUAACCAGCUGCUGCAUUUCGCCUAGCCAUCUCCUUGCAAAAUUCCUCAUUGGCAACCUUCCAUAACAGAUAUUGUCCUCCAUUUAGCACAGCAUUACACAUACUAGUCCAAUCUGCUGGCGUCAUGUCCAAGUUGGUAAUGGAUUUGACCAUGCUUACAGUGAAGGGUGCUUGAGGACCAUAGUAUGUUACAGCCUCUUAGAUGCUUCACUGUUUUGAAAUCUAAAGCAUGGUGAAUUUGCUUCCUUCCUGCCUGCUCAAAUACAGGGCAUGCUAAUAUUUGAGAUCCUGUCUCAGGAUCCCAUCUAUCAACUGUGGGGGUUGGGGGGUCUCCCAGCAUAUGGAGGUGGCGCUGUUGGCUGGACACUUACACCCCCUGGUGAUAGGAAGGUGUUAGUAGCAGUCUCCUAUUGUAACUUUUCCCCUGAUGGCAUUUUCUUCUCUAAACUUUCUUCCUCUGUCUGACUAGCUUGAGAGACCUUCUCUUUUACUUGAAUUUUUUUCUCUGUCUCACUAGCUCGAGAGACCUUCUGUUUUACUUGAAUCAAUAUGUCUUCUCCUUCCUCUACCAUUGUCUGAACUAAAGACUUUGGGCUAAGCAAACAAGAUACCAAUGCCCACAAUGGCAGAGUUCCUGGGCUUUUCUUUACUAUUCUUUUUAAAUCUUCACCAUCAUGGUUCCAUUGUGAUAUAUUUAACAACUCCCCUUUAAUAAGCCUUGGGCUACAUUUUUGUAUUGUAUCAGUGUAUGCCCUGACUGCUCUUGAUUUUACUGGGAUACCUCCUUCCUCUAACAAUUUACUUAACACUCUUUUGGUUUGUUUUUUUUACUAAUUUCUGAUCCCAUAUUUCUACUAUAACUAUAAUACAAGCCAACAAGAUAACACCAAAC
rnacentral:lncRNA from 1 species